rnacentral:lncRNA from 1 species
CGCUCCAGCAUGGUCAAAACUAGUCCAGAUGCCCCAGAUGUUCUUCUUGCUGUAGUUAUAUCCGUAGGGAGAGUGAUUACCUUAGGCUUAUAAUCAAGAUCCUCUUCAUCCACCCUAUGCCUUCGUAAAAAUCUAGUUACCAAACCUCCAAAUUCAAAGCUAUGACCCACCUGGGUACUCGCCUUCUUCAUCGCAGAAAAAAUUACACUUCC